UUUGCGCGUGAAAGCCCGCGUUUCUAGGAUAGUUUCCAAGAACGCGUAAAAAAAUACGCGCAGACAACAAAAAGGAUGAAGACGCUUCAGGAAUUCGAUGGCGUAGAAGACAAAAUAGCGGUGCCGCGCGCGGUAGAAUUCAAAGCUUGCGCGACGGCUGCACAACCGUGCCAUGACUCAGAAGGCCAAAUAUAGUGAUUGCUGGGAUUUCUGUAGAUUUUUGAAGAAAGUACAUCCUGUCGUGGCAUAAUAGAACUGGAGCGUUGGAAAUACGGGAAUACCGUUACGCGCUAUAAUAUCAACGGAAAAAAUAUCGUUUCACGGUUAUGGUCAUAUUUUACCCGCAAGAAUCUCACGAUGCGCUUAACCGUUCGAUGUUUGCACGCCAGACGAAGUUCUCGGAAUUGAAAUCUGCUGUUUGGCUGCUCAAGCGUAACAAACUCGGCAUUCUCGUCUUCGUGGUUAAUGCAAAUUAAACGGAAGAAGAGCAGCUCGGUGAGAUUACUCGGAAAUGUCUUCAGAAGGAGUUACAACAGAUAGGAGAAGAACAUACCGGAUCUUCGUCCUAG